rnacentral:rRNA from 1 species
GGCGAACGGGUGCGUAACGCGUAUGCAACCUACCCUAUACAGGAGGAUAGCCCGGAGAAAUCUGGAUUAAUACCCCAUAGUAUCAUUGAGCUGCAUGGUUUAAUGAUUAAAGAUUCAUCGGUAUAGGAUGGGCAUGCGUCUGAUUAGCUAGUUGGCGGUGUAACGGACCACCAAGGCUACGAUCAGUAGGGGUUCUGAGAGGAAGGUCCCCCACACUGGCACUGAGAUACGGGCCAGACUCCUACGGGAGGCAGCAGUAGGGAAUAUUGGGCAAUGGACGAGAGUCUGACCCAGCCAUGCCGCGUGCAGGAAGACGGCGUUCUGCGUUGUAAACUGCUUUUAUCUGGGAAGAAAAUGCCCUUGCGAGGGAAAUUGCCGGUACCAGAUGAAUAAGCACCGGCUAACUCCGUGCCAGCAGCCGCGGUAAUACGGAGGGUGCAAGCGUUGUCCGGAUUUAUUGGGUUUAAAGGGUGCGUAGGCGGCUAUUUAAGUCAGUGGUGAAAGACUCCGGCUCAACCGGAGCAGUGCCAUUGAUACUGGAUAGCUUGAGUAUUGGAGGGGUACAUGGAAUUGAUGGUGUAGCGGUGAAAUGCAUAGAUACCAUCAGGAACACCGAUAGCGAAGGCAUUGUACUGGCCAAUAACUGACGCUGAUGCACGAAAGCAUGUGUAGCGAACAGGAUUAGAUACCCUGGUAGUCCAUGCCGUAAACGAUGAUUACUCGCUGUUAUGGCUUUAUGUUGUAGCGGCCAACCGAAAGCGUUAAGUAAUCCACCUGGGGAGUACGCUCGCAAGAGUGAAACUCAUAGGAAUUGACGGGGGUCCGC